rnacentral:rRNA from 1 species
UACGUAGGGACCAAGCGUUGUUCGGAUUUACUGGGCGUAAAGGGCGCGUAGGCGGCGUGGUAAGUCACUUGUGAAAUCUCUGAGCUUAACUCAGAACGGUCAAGUGAUACUGCUGUGCUAGAGUGCGGAAGGGGCAAUCGGAAUUCUUGGUGUAGCGGUGAAAUGCGUAGAUAUCAAGAGGAACACCUGAGGUGAAGACGGGUUGCUGGGCCGACAGUCGUGCGCUGAUGCGCGAAAGCCAGGGGAGCAAACGGG